GGGGAAUAUUGCACAAUGGGCGAAAGCCUGAUGCAGCAACGCCGCGUGAGCGAUGAAGGCCUUUGGGUCGUAAAGCUCUGUCCUUGGGGAAGAAAAAAAUGACGGUACCCUUGGAGGAAGCCCCGGCUAACUACGUGCCAGCAGCCGCGGUAAUACGUAGGGGGCGAGCGUUAUCCGGAAUUAUUGGGCGUAAAGAGUGCGUAGGUGGUUUUGUAAGCGCGGGGUGAAAGGCUAUGGCUCAACCAUAGUAAGCCCUGCGAACUGUGAGACUUGAGUGCAGGAGAGGAAAGUGGAAUUCCUAGUGUAGCGGUGAAAUGCGUAGAUAUUAGGAGGAACACCAGUGGCGAAGGCGACUUUCUGGACUGUAACUGACACUGAGGCACGAAAGCGUGGGGAGCAAAC
rnacentral:rRNA from 1 species